rnacentral:rRNA from 1 species
UGGGGAAUAUUGCACAAUGGGCGCAAGCCUGAUGCAGCCAUGCCGCGUGUAUGAAGAAGGCCUUCGGGUUGUAAAGCACUUUCAGCGGGGAGGAAGGCGUUAAGGUUAAUAACCUUGGCGAUUGACGUUACCCGCAGAAGAAGCACCGGCUAACUCCGUGCCAGCAGCCGCGGUAAUACGGAGGGUGCAAGCGUUAAUCGGAAUUACUGGGCGUAAAGCGCACGCAGGCGGUCUGUCAAGUCGGAUGUGAAAUCCCCGGGCUCAACCUGGGAACUGCAUUCGAAACGGGCAGGCUAGAGUCUUGUAGAGGGGGGUAGAAUUCCAGGUGUAGCGGUGAAAUGCGUAGAGAUCUGGAGGAAUACCGGUGGCGAAGGCGGCCCCCUGGACAAAGACUGACGCUCAGGUGCGAAAGCGUGGGGAGCAAACAGG